ensembl:snoRNA SNORA74 Small nucleolar RNA SNORA74
CCCAGCUGUAGGCAACUGCCUAGGUGGUACUGUACCCAGGCAAGGGUUACACAGCUGGGGGAAAAGCAGCCAACAGCUGGCGGGCAUCCCGGGACUGGCUAAUGCCAAGUUUGUGUUAACUAU